rnacentral:rRNA from 1 species
UUUAUGGAGAGUUUGAUCCUGGCUCAGGAUGAACGCUGGCGGCGUGCCUAAUACAUGCAAGUCGAGCGAACGGACGAGAAGCUUGCUUCUCUGAUGUUAGCGGCGGACGGGUGAGUAACACGUGGAUAACCUACCUAUAAGACUGGGAUAACUUCGGGAAACCGUAGCUAAUACCGGAUAAUAUUUUGAACCGCAUGGUUCAAAAGUGAAAGACGGUCUUGCUGUCACUUAUAGAUGGAUCCGCGCUGCAUUAGCUAGUUGGUAAGGUAACGGCUUACCAAGGCAACGAUGCAUAGCCGACCUGAGAGGGUGAUCGGCCACACUGGAACUGAGACACGGUCCAGACUCCUACGGGAGGCAGCAGUAGGGAAUCUUCCGCAAUGGGCGAAAGCCUGACGGAGCAACGCCGCGUGAGUGAUGAAGGUCUUCGGAUCGUAAAACUCUGUUAUUAGGGAAGAACAUAUGUGUAAGUAACUGUGCACAUCUUGACGGUACCUAAUCAGAAAGCCACGGCUAACUACGUGCCAGCAGCCGCGGUAAUACGUAGGUGGCAAGCGUUAUCCGGAAUUAUUGGGCGUAAAGCGCGCGUAGGCGGUUUUUUAAGUCUGAUGUGAAAGCCCACGGCUCAACCGUGGAGGGUCAUUGGAAACUGGAAAACUUGAGUGCAGAAGAGGAAAGUGGAAUUCCAUGUGUAGCGGUGAAAUGCGCAGAGAUAUG